UACGUAGGGUGCGAGCGUUGUCCGGAAUUAUUGGGCGUAAAGAGCUCGUAGGCGGCUGCUCAAGUCGAAUGUGAAAACUCGAGGCUCAACCUCGAGCCUGCAUUCGAUACUGGGCGGCUAGAGUCUGGUAGGGGGGAUCUGGAAUUCCUGGUGUAGCGGUGGAAUGCGCAGAUAUCAGGAGGAACACCGAUGGCGAAGGCAGGUCUCUGGGCCACUACUGACGCUGAGAAGCGAAAGCAUGGGGAGCGAACAGG
rnacentral:rRNA from 1 species